rnacentral:lncRNA from 1 species
UCCUCAUGGAUUGCAAUCUACGAUGAAGAAAAAAGGAGGGGAGAAGGCACGGUCACCAAUACCUAGCCUUGGCCCUCUUAGCCAGCAGAUACAUGAAAAGAAGGAAAAAAGGUAGGAAAGUGCGCAUACAUUACCUAACAGCAAGGGACAGAUCGAAAGAAGGGAAGGAGGGAAAAGAGGAGGAAAGAAAAGGUGGGCC